AAAGUCUAAACCUUAAUUUCUUUCAUAAAGCAAAACAGAACAAGUAUAUAUCAAAGAUGGAGUGACUUGUCAUUUAUCCUAAUCGUUGAAUUACACUUUCCUUUUCACACAUGAAGACUUGGCUAACUAGAAACAAUUAUCAUCAUUUAAGCAUUUUUUGAGUGGGUUCCCCUUCCUUUUUUUUCCAAAUUCAAUGUAUAGGCUGUCUGCCAUGGGUAUUUCAUGAGGCCAACCAUAAAACACUAGUCUAUGUCUCCAAGAAUUUUCCAAGUCUGAUCCUUGCCAUUAGUUUUGCCAUAUUUUGGACUCUAAUAAAGCUUAAUUCGGCGCAUAUAAUCUACUUUUAUUCCCAUUUAUGAACUUGUUCAACCCCUUACAAAGCUUUACAGAAAAAUGAAUCAGUGCUUCUUUCUUGCUGCCAUUAGUGGGAUUUCAUGCUUUUUGUUCUCUUGGUAUGAAUAUGGGUAUGAAUAUGGGGAAUCUCCAUUUCACUUUCAAUGACUGAUAUAUACUAAGCAAGCAGCUGUACAAAUUAAUGCAGAUGGGGUUGUCAUCAUCAGCAAAAAAUUAAGACCAGAGAAUUGAAACAGUAAUAGAAUAUUAUAGCAUUCUUUCUUUGUAUGAAACAUGAAGAAAGCUGGCUGAUGAUAAUGAUCAAGACUGUUGCCUCCAAAAAUGUGCAGGUGAAGUCAAGUCAUAUGCAUUAAAAUACCGUUGUGGGGAUGACUUUAUCAAGAAAUGGAAGGUAAAAUAUAGAUAUGAGUUUUGCCUUGUGCAGCUGAAUUUCAAUUUGUAAUUAUCAUAUAUUAUAGUAACACCAAUCUCUUCAUUCGUUUUUCUCUACGUUUUAUAAUCCAGAAAGGUUGAAAUAAAUGUUAGUAACUUUUUGUACGUAUCCGUAAAUGUUACUUGUACGUUUAAAAUUUAACUAAUUUUAGUGACAUUUUUCCAUGCAUCAUUGAUCAGUUCAAAAAUGUUCAAUGACAUGAGCUCAG
rnacentral:lncRNA from 1 species